rnacentral:lncRNA from 1 species
UAUCCUCCACCAUGUCCACCCCUACAGACUGGGUUCAAUUCUACCCCAAUUCUAGCCACUUGGCACCUCCUGGCCGUGCCACGUCAUCCACCCAGUCCCCCGACGCCGCCGUCGGCACCACUUCUUCUUCCCCCCCUGCUGGGGCAGCGGCUGGCGCCGCUGCUACUCAUGGUGGUGGUGCUCACCUGACGCCGGAGGGCCGGGUGGCAAAGCCCAUCAGGCGGCGGUCCAGGGCGUCCCGGCGCACCCCGACAACCCUGCUCAAC